UCAGAGGCUAGAGUCUCAUCCUGACAUACACUUGUCUUGGUGUGCUAGAGCACUCUAAGAUUAAAGACUGAUCCUAUUCACCGACUGGCCUGUUUUUAGGUUAGUCAACCACAUGGGCAGUUACAAGU